rnacentral:rRNA from 1 species
AGCGAACGCUGGCGGCAGGCUUAACACAUGCAAGUCGAGCGGGCCCUUCGGGGUCAGCGGCGGACGGGUGAGUAACGCGUGGGAACGUGCCUUCUGGUCUGGAAUAACCCUGGGAAACUAGGGCUAAUACCGGAUACGCCCUUUUGGGGAAAGGUACUGCCGGAAGAUCGGCCCGCGUCUGAUUAGCUAGUUGGUGGGGUAACGGCCUACCAAGGCGACGAUCAGUAGCUGGUCUGAGAGGAUGAUCAGCCACACUGGGACUGAGACACGGCCCAGACUCCUACGGGAGGCAGCAGUGGGGAAUAUUGGACAAUGGGCGCAAGCCUGAUCCAGCCAUGCCGCGUGAGUGAUGAAGGCCUUAGGGUUGUAAAGCUCUUUUAUCCGGGACGAUAAUGACGGUACCGGAGGAAUAAGCCCCGGCUAACUUCGUG